GCGGAGUGGAGAAGUUGGUUAUCUUGACAGCCUCAUAAACUGUAGAUCGUGGGAUCGUGACCCACCUCCGCUACCA
rnacentral:tRNA from 1 species